rnacentral:rRNA from 1 species
UUGGAAGUAAAAGUCGUAACAAGGUUUCCGUAGGUGAACCUGCGGAAGGAUCAUUACCGAGUUUUCGAGCUCCGGCUCGACUCUCCCACCCUUUGUGAACGUACCUCUGUUGCUUUGGCGGCUCCGGCCGCCAAAGGACCUUCAAACUCCAGUCAGUAAACGCAGACGUCUGAUAAACAAGUUAAUAAACUAAAACUUUCAACAACGGAUCUCUUGGUUCUGGCAUCGAUGAAGAACGCAGCGAAAUGCGAUAAGUAAUGUGAAUUGCAGAAUUCAGUGAAUCAUCGAAUCUUUGAACGCACAUUGCGCCCCUUGGUAUUCCGGGGGGCAUGCCUGUUCGAGCGUCAUUACAACCCUCAAGCUCUGCUUGGAAUUGGGCACCGUCCUCACUGCGGACGCGCCUCAAAGACCUCGGCGGUGGCUGUUCAGCCCUCAAGCGUAGUAGAAUACACCUCGCUUUGGAGCGGUUGGCGUCGCCCGCCGGACGAACCUUCUGAACUUUUCUCAAGGUUGACCUCGGAUCAGGUAGGGAUACCCGCUGAACUUAAGCAUAUCAAUAAGCGGAGGA